GAGCGUCACAGCUGUCGCCAAAAGAACAGGAUCCUUUAUCCUUUGCGUUUAUUCAUUCACACGUCAAAAAUUCCACACAUAUGUUUAGUUUGUAGUAUUUAUAAUCACAUUCUGAUAAGAUAUACGAGUUUUAUAAAAAUUUUCAUUCAUGCUAUUUUGUGGAAUAUAUUUCGAAUACGUAAUGGAAAACAGUGAUUUUCAUUUCAGUAAAUAGUGGAGAUAAUUAAAUUAAGGAUAUACCAAAAGUUCAUCGAAAUUGCAGCUGUGUUUUUGUUUGUGAUUAAAGAUUGCUGAUACAAUGACGCGCGUAUGUUUUGCAGCUUCGUUUAUGGUCUCUCUAACAAUAUUCCCGACAAUCGAUGCCGUUUUUCAAGAUUUUAUGAAUCUCCAGCAUCCAAGAUCUCAUUUACCUGAUACAAAAUUCAACUAUGGAGAAUAUUCGGAACAUUUAGAAACUGAAGAAAGAAGAGAAAAUGGCCCUGAAACAGCAUGGGAUAGAAUACCACAACAUAACGAUCAACCAUCUAGAUACAGCCAUACCCAGACGGAAAGUCCUGAUCAGCUUUCGGAUACCUUUGAUCCAAAUAUCACAUGGGACCCACAUUGGAUAACAGACAUGAGCAAAAUGGGUCAAUUGACUGCCGUUGAUUUAGACCCGGAAGGAAGGAUUGCAAUAUUUAGUAGACGUGAGAGAAUUUGGGGUUUAACAACGUUCGAUUACCAUAAUAAAUUCGAUUGUAGCAACGGUCCGAUUAAGCACGACACGAUAUUGCUGUAUGACAAAACAGGUCGGAAAGUUUUGCAAUGGGGCAGAAACAUGUUUUAUUUACCUCAUGGACUAACGAUAGACCAUGAAGGAAAUUAUUGGAUGACAGAUGUAGCUUUGCACCAGGUUUUCAAAUUUGACGCUAAGGACAUAGAAAAGAAUUGGAAUUUAUUGAAAAAAGCUGAAAAUCAAACGAUCAAGGAUCUCGAAAAUGUUCACGAUUAUAAGCAUCGUUUUGAGCACAGUAUCAUCAAACCUUCUAUCAUACUUGGCCAAGCUUUUGAGCCCGGAGAUGACAAUCUAAGGUUCUGCAAACCGACUGCUGUUGCAGUUGCACAAAAUGGUGACUUUUUUGUUAGCGACGGUUAUUGCAACUCCAGAGUCAUUAAAUUUAACAAAAAUGGAGAAAGAAUAUUGCAUUGGGGUCGAUCAUGGCCAGCUACAGAUACGUUCAAUAAAUCGCCACCUUCGUACGCUCUUUUCGUUCCACAUUCCCUGGCGUUGGCGGAGGAUCAGAAUUUAAUAUACGUUGCGGAUCGGGAGGACGGUAGAGUGAUGGCUUACAACGCUCAAAAUGGAACUUUUCACCGUGAAUUCAAGCAUCCGUCGUUGGGUACCAAAAUUUAUGCAGUAGCCUAUGCCCGUGAAAAACUUUAUCUUAUCAACGGACCGGAACCUUUUAAAUCACAUUAUUUCCACGUGAGAGGUUUCGUUCUCGACACUAAUAGUGGCAAUGUCGUUUCGCAAUUUGGCCCUGGACGAGACAUGCUCGCACCCCAUGACAUCGCUGUUUCGGACGAUGGAUCCGAAAUUUAUACAAUCGAAUUGGACGACCACAAAGUUUAUCGGUUUGUUCAAGCGCCGCUUUCUAUAUGUAGAGGAUGCAUGAGGCGUGAUUGUGUAGGACAGGCAAAGUGUACAAGCUUUGACAAAACCGUGUAGCCGGCAGCACCGUACAAGCAUUGGAUUUCAUUAUACACGCCGCGGCAAAAACUUUUAGCUCACGUAAGUAAACAAGUAUUAGUGAAGACGAAUUUGACGUCAGCUGGAAAUGCAACGUAUCUUCAGCACCACGAAGUUGCACCACUGACGGAUGACACGCCGAGUGAUGUGAAUUCGAGAAAAAGCGGAAGCGGCGCAGUU
rnacentral:misc_RNA from 1 species